GCAAUAGCAUUAGUGAAGCUGUAAGAAGGAAUAAAUAAGCUCCAGAUUCGUUGUAUGAACUAGAUAUUGACGAGGCUGCACCUCGACCACAUCACUGACUGGAUCUUGGAAUUAUGAAAUAUUUUUCUGGCAUAUACGGUACAAUAGUUAGUCCUCGUGUUCUAUAGUCCUCGUGAUAAUUAGCUCUGGGAUGGUGGAUAUAGCCAUUGCUACUGUAAUAGUAUGACUAUGAUUAGUAUCUAUGGUAUAGCUAUAUAUAUAUAUAUAAUACUUUUAUUAACAAAUUCAAUGUAUGCAAAAGCCAAGGUGAAAGCAGAUCUAAAUCUAACCAUAUUAUCUUUGAUCUAACCAUAGAUCACAACCACAACUGUUCAUUCCAGUCUCUUCAAUCAUAGAUAUGCUUCAAUUAUAUGACAGUACAAGCCUUGUACCAGCUGGAGCAGAAAUAUUUGAACCCCUCUAUUUUGCCAAGGAACCAGAAACAGGGCAAGCAAAUAUUAUCAAUGUCAUUUAGUAAUUUUAACAGCAAUACAGUUGCUGCAUGCUCCCGUGAUUAGUAUAAUAAUUUUUGCAAAGUAUUACACAAUUUACUUUUUACUGAUGUUGUUAUUUUAGAUUGCACCCAUCAAGAAACUUUAAAUUAUCUUUUGUUCGGAAUGGUAUUGGUCCUGGUCGUAUUUUUGGGUCUGGGGUGCCUUUUAAAAGGCUGAGAAAUGUACAAAAGUAAAUUCCCCAGGCUCAAGAAUAAAGAGGAGGAUAUUACAAUCCGCCAAAUAAACCAGUGGUACAGAAAUUUAAAAAGUAUUAUUCUCUCAGAUUCUUGCGAUCCUACCAUCUGAGCUGGUAGUAGCAGCAACUACUUUCGUAUCAAAAGAUAUAAUUUCUUCAGAAUGCUAUAGCUAUAUCCUCACAUGUAGUGGACAAUCAGAAAAAGCGGUGCAUCUGUUAAAUAAAAUUUUGCUACAAUUAAGUAGCUGCCCCGAUGGCAGCUAUACUUAGACAGAUUCAUUGACUCUUUAAAAACCCUGGAACAUCCAGGACUUGAUAUUAUUAUUAUUAAAAAAUUUAA